CUCUCUGCUCUCUCGCCCACAUCUAGCUCUGCUCGAUCUCCACCUCUAGAUCUGCCUUGUCGGCGGCGAGAAGUCCGGUGGGUAGCCCCGGGGCGGACGAGCGGAGAGCAGUUGCGCCGUCGGUCAGGGCUGCAUUGACGUACUCGAAUCAGGGCUCGAUCGUCAUCACCAAAGGGAGAUGCGGUCGAUUGGGCUGAUUGCGAACAUCGCCCGCGAGGUCAUGCGUCCCAGAUUCCAGCGGACGCAUCUUGAUCCCAUGCGGUGAGCCGUUCAUAAAAACUCAGCUUCCUACUGAUUCGUCGAUGUGGGGGAGGGGCAGGGUUCCGUGUGAGCGCGUUGAGUGGAUAUGGAUCCAGAUGGCGAUGUGGAUGCAAAGAGAUGGGGAGGAGCUGCGAGUGUUGGAGGCUGGCGGCGCCAUGGCGAGUUGGGCAGGAUCUACUAGUGCGGUUGCUGCUACUGAGUUUUGCUGCUAAUCAUUGCUUUCACGCGCGAGCGAGAGUGCGAAGGAAAUGAACAUGCUCCCAGCUGCAAUUUGCUACUGCUGAUUGGUGCUCCUGCUACUCUACUUAAGUGUAAGUUCUGCACUGCUGAAUUUGCAUAUAGGCGAAUUGAUCGCUGAAUUUUCUAGUUCCUGUUUGCUUUGCUUCUAGUUCUUGCUGCUACUUGUUCACUUAGAUGACAUUGUUAAAAUAUAAGGUAUAAUAUAGAGGAUGAAAUUUAGACAAUCUGCUGAAGAUGAAAGAUAUAUACAGAAGGAAUCAUUUGGUGGUGGCUGUGUGGUGCUGUUAUGAAUCGGCUGCAGCUACCAACCCGUUUCUGGCGAGUAGACUGUAAUCGUGUUAAUUUUCCUCCACGAGCUACUCUUUUGUUCUGGGGUAGGUGACUGGGUGGUCUAAUGUGGCGCUUUUUUGGUUCUACAUGGACUGUAAUUUUUAAUUUAUAUAUUGCUAGCUCCGCCCCCAAAGUACUUGCAGGGUGUAACUUUUGUACUUAACUUUUAAUUUUAUUACAUUCCAACAUGAUUGUAGGAUGUAUUUGUUCAGUUUUA